GAUGAAGAACGUAGCGAAAUGCGAUACGUAAUGUGAAUUGCAGAAUUCAGUGAAUCAUCGAGUCUUUGAACGCACAUUGCGCCCCCAGGUAUUCCGGGGGGCAUGCCUGUCCGAGCGUCAUUGCUGCCCUCAAGCACGGCUUGUGUGUUGGGCCUCCGUCCUCCUCCCGGGGGACGGGCCCGAAAGGCAGCGGCGGCACCGCGUCCGGUCCUCGAGCGUAUGGGGCUUCGUCACCCGCUCUUGUAGGCCCGGCCGGCGCUUGCCGACACAUCAAUCUUUUUUCCAGGUUGACCUCGGAUCAGGUAGGGAUACCCGCUGAACUUAAGCAUAUCAAUAAGCGGAGGA
rnacentral:misc_RNA from 1 species